AUGCUCAGUUCAGCAGCACAUAUACUAAAAUUGGAACGAUGUGGAGAAGAUUAACAUGACUCCUGUUCGAGAAUGACAUGCAAAUUUGUGAAGCAUUCCAUGUUAAA
rnacentral:snRNA from 1 species